rnacentral:lncRNA from 1 species
AACUGGUCAUUAUGCCAGGAGCCAGGAGAGGGCUGGGCACAGUGACUUUCAGGCAGGACAAAGUGGAAGAGACUUCAUGGUGCAGCCUGUGGCUUGUCACACCAGCCUGCUCCUCCAGACUCCAGGGUCUGGCUGUGCAGCCCUGGAUAGCCUAGCAUUUGCUGUGUAGAAUAGAUCGGCCUUGAACUUCUGGUGAUCAUAUUGGCUCUGCUUCCUGAGUCCUGGGGUUAUAGAACUGCACUACCACGCCAGGCUCUCGAGGCCAUCUUCAGCUUUGCCUGGAAGACUGUAGGCAGCCACUGAAGAUCACAUAAAGGAAGUGACACCACAUUGCCACGGUUGACAACUUAAGUUCCAUCCCUGGAAUCCCCAUGGUAGAAGGAGAGAACGCAAUCCCCCAGGUUGUCCUCUGAUCUCUGGACACAAGUGUGCCCCCCCCCACAUAAACC